CGGCUUGUUACAGAGGCUCCUCACGGUCCCCUCCUGCCAAGGACAAGCAGUCCUCUAUGAAAAACAGGCUGCCAGGGUAGGAGAGCCAGCCUGCCCGGAGCACGGGGAGCUGUGGCGGUGGUUGGCAGAGCCAGGGCCUCUUGCUGCAGGAGGUGCAGGACGGACCCAGCCAUCAACGGCUCCAGAGCGCAAAGAGGGCAGGCGCGCUGAGCGGGGACAGCCAGCAGUACUCCACCACGCUGUACAGCGCGUAGCCCAGCAGCAAACCAAAGAGCACGUCCGUCAUGUUGUGCCUGCCCAGCAUGACCCUUGAAACGCUGACGAUGAGAGCCCAGAGCACCACCAGGACCCGCAGCGGGACGGCGAGCACCAAGUGGCGCAGGAUGAAGCGGCAGACCAGGGCAGCUCUGGUGGCGUGGCCCGACGGAAAGGAGUACUUGUCCACUGAGAUGGUGACGAACAUGUCCAUCUUGUUGUGGGUGGGCCGUGGCCGCUUGAUGAGCCCUUUCACCACUGCCACCAGCACAAGAUCCAGCAGCAAUGCUAGGAGACAGCAACAGUACCGCCUGCAGGGAGCCCAAGGGUGCGGACGUCUGUGUGCCAGAGCAGCUUUUCAGGGAACGGGCUGGUGUCUCAACACUAGGCAGCUGCACCUGGAAUGUGCUGUUCUGAGAAGCUGAGGGACUAAAAGAGAGUUCAGCUCCCUGAAAGUUUUGUGCAACUACAGGAGCAGUUUAGCUGUCAGGAGUUUCACAGGGUGUGGUUGGAGCUGUGACAGAUGAGCCAUACCCACACCACCGUGCCCUGCAGCUGCAGGGUUACUCGCUCUGGUACCAGACACCCCAGAUAAGCCUGCACCAGUUACUCAAAAUCAGCUGCCUCCCUCGGGGCUGGAGGAGGCUGAGGUUUACUCGGCUCUGCCCCAUCCUUCAGGUCCCAUCCUCCCCCCUCGGCUCCAGCCAGCCCCUGCCUGCAGAGCCUUUCGGUGAGCCCCCAGCCUCACCAAAGAGCAGGUUGAGCAGCACCUCCCUGGCCGCUGAGCUGUCGCUCUGGCAGAGCCCGUAGAAGGUGCCGAGCA